UCGCAUUGGACUUUUAUUGCCUCAACUUUUCUCAAUGAAUAUCAGCAGCAGUGCUAUGAGUUCAAGGAGGAAUGCAACACAGAGAAAAAAAUUGCUGCCAAGCUGAAGGCAUGUGCAGAGAGGUCCUUGUUGUU